rnacentral:tRNA from 1 species
GGGGAGGCGGCGAAGACGGCGAGUCGCGGCAGACUGUAAAUCUGUUGCCUUCGGGCUAAGAGAGUUCAAAUCUCUCCCUCCCCACCA